UUUCGAUUCUGCAGUAUCUUGUCCUGUCUACGUUGAAAUCGUCGAUGGGUAACUGUUUCUCAGUCUCAAUCUCUGGUGACGCCAUUCUCUCUCGCUGUCUGGAGUGUACUUUAAGAAAAGUCCGAUACGUAAGUGAACUUGAAGAUAAUCUUGAUGCCUUGCAGACUGAACUGCAGAAACUGAAGGAAAAAAGGGACGAUUUGUUGAGGAGGAUUGAGCUUGCGGAAAGAAAUGGAAAGAAACGGACGGACCAAGUGCGAGGCUGGCUUUCUAGGGUGCGAGAUGUGGAAGCUGAAGUUGGUGGACUACUAGAGACUAGAUCUCAAGAAAUCGAGAAAUUAUGUUUUGGAGGCUAUUGUUCAAAGAAUUGCAAGUCAAGCUUCAAGUGUGGGAAGAUAGUGGCUAAGAAGCUGAAACUGGUUGCUAAUUUAAAGGUUGAAGGAGAUUUCGAAGUGGUGGCGGAGAAUGUCCUAGAAUCAGUGGCGGAGGAAAGGCCUUGUGAACCUACAAUAGUGGGUUUGCAAUUAAUUUUUGAUCAAGUUUGGAGAUGUGUUGAGGAAGAAACAGUGGGAAUUAUUGGUCUCCAUGGAAUGGGGGGAGUUGGAAAAACUACCCUCUUAACCCAAAUUAACAAUAAGUGUCGUGACAUUUAUGAAAUUGUGAUUUGGGUAGUGGUGUCUAGAGAUUUGCAAGUUGAGAAGAUUCAAGAAACGAUUGGGAAAAAGAUAGGCUUAGAUGGAGAGUCGUGGAAGAACAAAAGUGUUGAUGAGAAAGCAUCGGACAUUUUUAAGAUUUUGCGCAAAAAGAAGUUUGUUGUAUUAUUAGAUGAUCUAUGGGAGAGGGUUGAUUUGAUCAAAGUGGGUAUCCCUCUUCCAAGCGUAGAAGUCGGAGGUAAAAUAGUCUUUACAACUCGUUCUCUUGAUGUUUGUGGCCUCAUGGAAGCUAACGGGAAGUUUAAAGUGGAAUGUUUAAUAGAAGAGGAAGCUUGGAAAUUGUUUGAAGGAAAGGUUGGGAGAGAAACUCUUGAUAGUGAUCCUGGUAUUUUGGAGUUGGCUAAACUUGUAGCCAAAGAAUGUGGCGGUCUACCCCUUGCACUCAUUACAAUUGGUAGAGCCAUGUCUUACAAAAAGACACCUGAAGAAUGGAAAUAUGCAAUUCAAGUGUUAAGGAGAGCCUCGUCUAAAUUUCCAGGUAUGCAGAAAGAGGUGUAUCCCCUUCUGAAGUUUAGUUAUGAUUGUUUGCCUACUGACACAAUCAGAUCAUGUCUUUUAUAUUGUAGUUUAUUUCCAGAGGACUUUAGAAUUAUGAAAACAGACUUGAUUGAUUAUUGGUUUUGUGAGAACUUUUUGGAUAUAUAUGAUCCAAGUGAAGUACAGAACCAUGGGUACGGCAUUAUUGGUGUUCUUGUUCGUGCUGGUUUAUUGGAAGAAAUAGAAGAGAGAGGAGUAUAUUUUGUAAAAAUGCAUGAUGUGAUCCGUGACAUGGCUUUGUGGAUAGCAUGUGAAAUUAAGGAGGAGCAGCAGAAAUUUUUAGUUCAGGUGGGUGUUGGAUUAACUAAAGCACCGAAGGUCAAUGAAUGGGAAGAGCUAAAGAGGAUAUCCUUGAUGGAAAACAAAAUUGAGGAAUUAUCAGUGACACCCACAUGUCCUGAUCUCUUGACUUUGUUUCUUAAUAACAAUGAGCUACGGAUGAUUAGUGGUAGCUUUUUUCAAUUCAUGCCUUCCCUCAAAGUCUUAAACCUAUCAAAUAAUCACUCUUUAAAACAAUUACCAUCUGGGAUUUCAAAUUUGGUUUCACUGCAACAUCUUGAUCUAUCAAGAUCCGGAAUAAUAGAGUUACCAAUGGAAUUAAAAGCCUUAGUAAAGCUUAAAUGUUUAAGCCUGGAGAAUACACAGAGCCUACGAAAAAUUCCAAGACAACUGAUAUCCCAUUUUUUAGAAUUACAUAUACUGAGAAUGACUGGCUGCGGUUCUGAUCAAGAAGUGGGAGAAGAUAGUGUUUUGUCUGGUGGUGGAGAAAAAUUGGUGGAGGAAUUGCUUGGUUUGGAAUCUUUAAAUGUGCUGAGUAUCACCUUAAAAAGUGGUCAUGCACUCCAAACAUUUCUGAGCUCCAACAAGUUUCAGAAUUCUACUCAUGGUCUAACGCUUGGACGCCUUGAUGAUUCUAAGAUGCUCAAUGUUUUGGCUUUAGCAGAUCUCAAGCAUCUUCAGAAACUAGAUAUUAAAAAGUGUGAAGAUUUGGAAGAGUUGAAGAUGGAGCAUUUAAUGGUAGGACAAAAAACAAGAGAACCUUACAAUUUCUUCAGUCUUAGCAUCGUUACAAUAGCUGCUUGCUCUAGAAUAAGAGACUUGACAUGGCUGGUUUUUGUGCCAAAUCUCAAGCAACUUUUUGUGAUGGCUUGUAAUAAGCUGGAAGAAAUUAUAAGCGAUAGAAAAUUAGGUGAAGAAUUCCCGGAACUGAUGGAAAAUCUAAACCUUUUUGCAAAACUUCACUUUUUAUGGAUAUUCCAUCUACCAAAUUUGAAGAGCAUUUAUUGGAAGGCCUUGCCCUUACCAAAUCUGAGUAAUUUUCAUGUAUUGGACUGCCCAAACCUUAGGAAGCUUCCACUUGAUUCCAACAGUGCAAAGGGACAGAAAAUCAUUAUAACUGGAGGAGGAAACUGGUGGGAAGGACUCGAAUGGGAGAGUGAAGCUGCUCAAAAUGCUUUUCUUCCUUGUUUCCAAUCUUAUUAAACAGGGGUAGAUUUGGCAGCCAGUUUCAAAAAUGAUCUCUGCCCUUUUGUUUGUUGUGUCAUACUCUUGGAUUGCUUAUGGCUGGUGUAGGGAGCUGGUUAGUUACUUGGAAAAUUUUCUCCAGUAAUCAAGAUUCAAAGUUCCAUUUGGGAGUUCUGAUUUUCUUCUCUUCUACAUGACAUUAUGGAAUUUGUGAGCUUCUGACAACUUAUCUUGGAAUUGUCACUGUGGAUUUAGGUUGGACAUUCGAAAGAUCAUGGUGACUGCCUUUUACAUUCUAGUACUACUUUCUCAUCUCUACCGUGCAAAAUCCAUGUCAGAGUCGUUGUUCCUCAGCAGACAAAGCAAUGGUAUCUUCAACAAAUACGGAGGAAAAUGAACGAGCAAAAGCCAGUCAGAGAUCAUGCCACCAAUGUGCUUGGUAACUCAGUAGCCUGACCACUGUCUGCUUUAAAUAGGGUCUCUGUGAGCCUGAUUGGAAGUCAUCAGUAAUGAGAAGAUUGUGUGUUAUUUGAUUAUCUCUUUUCUUCAUUUCCUCUGUGCCUGCAUUCUCGCGUGCUUUACUAUGCGAGAAGCAAAUACGUUAGAAUCAGUUGGUUGUAAGUCUUGUGUUUAAGAAUUAACAUUUUGGGCAGCAUGGCCUGUUUUUUCGGUUGUUAA